GGGGGGGGGCGGCGCAGCGCUGCGCCUUUAAAACGGCCGCCAUGACGCGGGCGGCGGUUGGCGCGGGCCGAGUGUGGCGGCCGCGUCACGCGGGCCGGGAGCCAGGCGGGGCUGCUGCCCGGUGUCAAACUGAGCCGCCUCAGAGCGCCCCGCUGCCGGCGGGGGGGCGGGAGCCGGGGGCUCCGCUGCUCCGGAGCAGCCUGUAGCAAUGCUUUGGUUUAGUUGCUCGUAGUUGCUGAAGUAAAAGAAACCUCUAUCCUCCCCAUGCUAACUGUUGACAUGGAAAACAAGGAAAAUGGCUCUCUGGAUGUCAAAAAUUCAGUAGAGAAUGGGAGACCGCCGGAUCCUGCUGACUGGGCUGUUACCGAUGUUGUGAAUUAUUUCAGAACAGCUGGAUUUGAGGAGCAAGCCAAUGCUUUUCAAGAACAGGAAAUUGAUGGCAAAUCAUUACUGUUGAUGACAAGAAAUGAUGUACUGACUGGACUUUCAUUAAAACUGGGGCCUGCGCUGAAAAUCUAUGAAUAUCACGUAAAACCUCUACAGACACAACAUCUAAAGAACAACUCUUUAUAGCGAAUUGCCUAAUUGGGGUCGUGUUGUGCCUCAAACAAUAAAUAAGCAAUUUGGUUUCAUGUGAUGGAACUUUGUAAAGAGAGAAUAUAUCUAUUAAGAAUUUAAACCAAAUUAUGAUAUAUAUCCUAUUGGAUAGAGUUGGCAAUAUACUAUAUACUGAGUCUGAACUGAGAGAGGUGGUGUGUAUUUUUUACAUAGUACAUAAUGAUUUUCUCUUUUAGGAAGUGUCAGUGAGCAUGUUGAGAUAGCUACGUCACUGUAUCCAGAUCAAAAGGGAGAUCUUUUACUUUCUCUGUUUCUUUGUUGUGGUAUAUUGGAACUCCUGGUUUUCUCCAUUUUCCCAUUAAAAAGGUCCGUGAAGUACUCCUCCAGCUCUCUCUGGCAGGCAGCAGUAGGGUAUGUGCCCCUUUCCUGGUUCUUUCCACCGCUUGUUUUUUUUAUGAGCCUGGCAGAGGUGAACUGCUGUCCUGGUGUGUAAUUUGGGAUGGAUCUUCAAGGGAACAUGACAAGCUUCAACUCAAUGCGGCUGAGAGUUUGCAAGUCAGUAAUAAAACUCCGUAACAACUAACCCUAGCUCAUGUUGUUUCUUAUUUGGUUGCCAUAGAUCAGUCAUACUUCAACUGAUCUAGUAAGUGUUAUUUAUACAUGUGUUUUUAAAUACAUAUAUGUAUACGUAUGGGACCAGGUGUGUGUGCAUGCACUCAGGUAUGUGUGUGGGUUUUUUCUUUCUUAGACUGGUAUGAAUGGUAAAGUUCAAUUUCAGAAUAAGAAAAUUGUUUAUAUCCUAAUUAUAGCUGAGAUGUGAGUUGACAUUUCUGGUCCUCUAAGUGGAGACAUUCAGUAGGUUUCCUUUCUAGAUACAGCCUGUGCACUUUCCAGUAAGAAGAUGGCUGGCUGUUGUAUGUACACAAAUAGCAGGAUUCUAACUUCACAAGUGUUUAUAUUGCGAUUUCUAGCCAGAAAGGGGUUUAUUUGAACACUUUGUCAGCUCAGUUCAACUUAGAAUCAGGGUUCUGUAUUCCUGAUAAAGCAAGAUUAAAAAAAAAAAGAAAAAGAAAAAAAGACAACUUUAAAGAAGAAAAAAAAAAGUAGCUGUAAUAGUUAAUGAAAACUGACAGGUUUAAAUGUGUGUUGGAAAGCAAGUAGCCUGAAUAUCUGUAGGAUAAUACAGCCAGUGAAGACAGAUCACUUGUACUGACCCUGACGGUGACAUUUCUUCUCUGUUUUAGAUAUUGGCUAAUGAGUUUAGCUGGUACAUUUUAUCUUUGUGACAUUAUCUGCAUGUGGAGCAUGAUCAUCAGCUGAGGAGGACUGUGGCUGGACUGCUAUCAGAAUCGAAUAGGAACAGGAUGUGAAAGAAUCAGAUGCUAAAAUGAUAGUAAUAUGUGUGUACGCUUGAAAUAGUGUUUUUGGUAGGAGGCUGCAGGCCCUAUAAACUACUGGGAUAUAGCCCAGGACCAGCAACUUCAUGUUAUCAGCAAGAAGAUGUAUUUUAAAUGGCAAUUUAUGAUCUGCUAACUGCUGCUCAGUUUCAUCAAGUGUGAUUUCAUUGGCAAAGCAUCACAGCUGCCUCUGAGUAAAAUGCGGUAAGCAACCUGAAUAGCUCCUCUGGACAGGAACUGGAAAAAAAAAAUCUCUCUCAAUUAAAAUAAUGCAAGUCCAUUGUGGAGACUGAAUCCAAUGAAGCCGAUGGGAAUUUGGUCAGGUUUCAGGCCUGAGUAAGUCUGGCUAAGUCCCAUUUUCAAGAACGAUUUAUGCCAUUGUUACCUGAAUCUAACUGCCAUAUGGAAAAUUUGGGCUUCUUCCGAUUGCCUAAGUUCUUUCUUCAGAAGCAAUCUGCCCACGUAAGUGACUCAGGUUUGCAGUGCUGAAUGGAGCUGUGCCAAGAUGCCUUUAUAGAAACCACAUUGCAUGAGUAUACAUGUGUGCUUGUUGCCACAGGAAAGUCUAUAUAAACAGCUGCUUGCUGCUCUGUGUCCUCAUUCUGCCAUGAAGGUUAGUCCACUGCUACCUUACAAGCCCACAAAUGAAGCACAAAUAGUAACGAAGGAAACCACCUGCCUAAUGCAAUAAAUUUCUCAUAAGGUAGAAAGGAGGUGGGUUGUGAAAAUCUGCCUUGUUUAGAAACAGGUAAAUGCUGAAAUGUUCAGUAAGAGCCUUUUUCUUCCUUUUUUUUUUUUUUUUUCUUUCCAUCUGUUGGUAGCGAGCCAUCAUUUGGAACAAGACUUGUCACUUUUUGAGGUAAAAUUAGCUGAACUAAAACAUAUUUCUUUUACAGUGUUUGCAUUUAUACGUAAAGUAGUAAACAGUUUCAUUUCUUGUUUGGUAAAUAGUCAAAUACUAGCUUGUUUUUUGAUGUUGCUCUUUAUUUGCCCUUAAAAGAUACAUUAAUAAAUUACAAGCACCUAAAAAUAGUAGAAAUAGCAAGACAUAAGCCCACAAGUACAAUAUGACACAAUCUAACAAGGUAGGAAAGAAUGUCCCCAGCAAAAGCUAGAAGUGUUGUAAAUAAAACUUUCAGAAUUGACUAAUGGCCAGAGAACAGCGUAUCUGGGACAGCUUCGCUCUGUGGUGUCAUUUGUCCUGUUGUUUUUCAGGAGAUAUCUCAGGCUUGUGAACAGCGUCUUCCCUUCGCAUCUGUUAUAUCCUGCUCAGCAAGGCAAGUUCCUAUUUUUCAAAGCACCUCAAAAUGUCACAUGGUGCAGGUCAUGCUCCUCAUUUUCGGUGCCUAGGAAUUUCAUGAUUGUACCCAGAGGAAUGCUGCAGAUCUGAGAAGGCACAAAGGCGACUGAAUUGCAGGUUUUGGAAGUAACUUUGGCCACGUCCCAUUGGAUUUGUGUUCUGUCAUAUGGUGUCUGUGAAAAUGAUGCUCACAGAAAAUGAGAGCAGCGGUUAGAAGCUGUCAGAAGUUGAGCAGAGCAGGAUUUCUGUUACAAAUGUG